rnacentral:rRNA from 1 species
GUGGGGAAUCUUGCGCAAUGGGCGAAAGCCUGACGCAGCCAUGCCGCGUGAAUGAUGAAGGUCUUAGGAUUGUAAAAUUCUUUCACCGGGGACGAUAAUGACGGUACCCGGAGAAGAAGCCCCGGCUAACUUCGUGCCAGCAGCCGCGGUAAUACGAAGGGGGCUAGCGUUGCUCGGAAUUACUGGGCGUAAAGGGCGCGUAGGCGGAUCGUUAAGUCAGGGGUGAAAUCCCAGAGCUCAACUCUGGAACUGCCCUUGAUACUGGCGAUCUUGAGUGUGAGAGAGGUAUGUGGAACUCCGAGUGUAGAGGUGAAAUUCGUAGAUAUUCGGAAGAACACCAGUGGCGAAGGCGACAUACUGGCUCAUUACUGACGCUGAGGCGCGAAAGCGUGGGGAGCAAACAGGAUUAGAUACCCGUGUAGUCC